rnacentral:misc_RNA from 1 species
GAUGAAGAACGUAGCGAAAUGCGAUAAGUAAUGUGAAUUGCAGAAUUCAGUGAAUCAUCGAAUCUUUGAACGCACAUUGCGCCCGCCAGUAUUCUGGCGGGCAUGCCUGUUCGAGCGUCAUUACAACCCUCAGGCCCCCGGGCCUGGCGUUGGGGAUCGGCGGAAGCCCCCUGCGGGCACAACGCCGUCCCCCAAAUACAGUGGCGGUCCCGCCGCAGCUUCCAUUGCGUAGUAGCUAACACCUCGCAACUGGAGAGCGGCGCGGCCACGCCGUAAAACACCCAACUUCUGAAUGUUGACCUCGAAUCAGGUAGGAAUACCCGCUGAACUUAAGCAUAUCAAAAGCGGAGA